rnacentral:tRNA from 1 species
CAUUAGAUGACUGAAAGCAAGUAAUGGUCUCUUAAACCACACUAUAGUAGAUGGCAACUACUUCUAAUGA